rnacentral:SRP_RNA from 1 species
GACCGGGUCUUACGCAGCGUAGGCUCUCGAACCGUGUCAGGUCCUGACGGAAGCAGCACUAAGGGAAACCCUACGGGUGCCGUAAGAUAGCCUGGUCUGAG